GGGGAUUUAGCUCAGUGGUAGAGCGCUUGCCUAGCAAGCACAAGGCCCUGGGUUCGAUUCCCAGCUCCG
rfam:Rattus norvegicus chromosome 16, whole genome shotgun sequence.